GCAUGUGGACUCCUACUGCUCC
rnacentral:miRNA from 1 species